rnacentral:rRNA from 1 species
AGAGUUUGAUCCUGGCUCAGGACGAACGCUGGCGGCGUGCCUAACACAUGCAAGUCGAGCGGAGAUAUUAGUAAUAAUAUCUUAGCGGCGGACGGGUGAGUAACGCGUGGGCAACCUGCCUCACACUGGGGGAUAACACAGGGAAACUUGUGCUAAUACCGCAUAACAUCAUGAAAGGACAUCCUUUUAUGAUCAAAGGAGCAAUCCGGUGAGAGAUGGGCCCGCGUCCAAUUAGCUAGUUGGUGAUGUAACGGACCACCAAGGCGACGAUUGGUAGCCGAACUGAGAGGUUGAUCGGCCACAUUGGGACUGAGAUACGGCCCAGUUUCCUACGGUUGGCAGCAGUGGGGAAUAUUGCGCAAUGGGGGAAACCCUGACGCAGCAACGCCGCGUGAAGGAUGAAGGUUUUCGGAUCGUAAACU